GACGCUUGGUCUACCGCCCUGCCCCCCGAUGUUUGCGCAUCCAAAGUGCUUAUUUGCCAAUGCAUUUAAUUCCCUGCACAACGCCAAAUAGCCGGCAUCACCCGAACCCCGUGUGCAACAGCAGUAGUGGGCGCCUUCCUGUCUUACGGCGCGGGGGCAUAGUAAAAGUGUUUAUACAUUCGUCCUUACUGAUACUGCUGGAACGCGCACCAACACUGUUGCAAAACCGCUCGAAGUAUCGAUUUUGUCCUGCGUGACCUUUUUUUCAAUUUAAAAUUGCUUCCGAACAGGAACGGAGGGCCUUGCUGUCUUGCCGUUGUUGCAUAAGACACUGUGUAAGGGGUGAAAACUGAAGCUGGUUUCGUUCUGUUUUCGAGCGUUUUAAUUUGUCUCGCGGUGUGCCUCCGAAUCUUCGGCAAGCGUGGCCUUCCGCCGUGUCGGUUACGCUUGAGAUAUCAGUUGCUCCAUCCAACACGGGCGGGCGGCAGUUUCCGUGUUUCUCCGAGCUUGCUGCUGAGGCGAUUCGAACCUUACAGUUAUUGGUUCGGAAACGGCACAAAUAUCAUUUUUUACCCGUGCACUGUGCUGUGUACGUGUGUUGUCAUGAUCUAUUUUCAGAGGGCCAUACUCGCACACACACACACACGAGGCAGAGGCCCCCGAAAUGCAGUCACGAACGAACGUGACGACCAAACCCCGGAGGAGAAGGAGGAAAAAAAUGACACUUUUUGGACGCAACGAUGAGCGCGAAAAACGGAAGAAAAAAUGAAAUUCGGGUCAGUAGUGUGGUGCAGGUUGGGUUUAAAAUUAAUGUUCAUACAAAACACAACACACCAACACCAGCACCAACACACAGUUCCCGGAGCAUACGGGGACCAGCACACAGCACAACGGACUCGAUGACGUAACACUUCGGGAGGGGUUGUGGAUAUGUGCUCAUGGAGAAAGGAUGUUCACACACCGGGAUGGGCAAAUUGGGGGAGAUAAUUGAAUCACCUUCAUCACUCAAUCACCAACAUCCAAGCUUUAUGCCUCAACUCAACAAAAUUCACUACAAAAAGAAACCAUCUUUCCGGUCCGGUUGCAAGUAAUUCGAGUUGCACUUUUUGCACACACAGAGAUCCCGGCCCGCGUGGCCUAGUUACUUACAUUCGCUUCACAAGAAUCUUGGCUGCACUUUUCUUCCCUGGGUACGCAAAACGCUCGUAGUAAGCACUGAGUAGGACGACGAUCCGUUGUAAAGGCGAGCACAACUGACGGUCGCACGGUCACAAAGCAGGCCACAGAAACGACAACAACAGCACCAACAGCAAUGUCGAAAACGACUGUGUGAUGGUGGUGGUGUUUUGCUAUCGCUGUCAACCGUAGAACCGCUCUCACCGCCGUAGCCGCUCCGGUGAAGAUGUCAGAUGGGUUGUUUUUUUACUGUCGUGUGAAAUAUCGGGACUUUGGUCUGCUGCCGGUUAGUCACAGCGCGCGUUUGUCAAGGAGGGUACAGAGAAAAAUAUUUAAUUAAAUUUUAAUUCCACUAACAAUUGGCACAACUGAACUGCACGGUGCACAACAACGCUGACGACGGUGACGAUGUGUUGGGAUUGUGUAUACCUGGGUUUGUGCGACACGGGACCGUGGUUUAGUAGCUGUUGGCUGGUGUGUGAGACAACCAAGUAAUGAAGAAGGGGAAACAGCGAUAUCGGGAGAGCGACUGGGUCAUGUGAGAGCAAAGCAGCGCGGUGGGAGAGAUUUGCGAAUCGAAGAAGUGAUGCACUGUGGUGAGUUGCGGAUGAGCAGCUUUCGGUGUAAAACAAUUGAUUUAUUUUAAAUGAGAAAUUAAUUUAAUAAGUUAAAAUGGAUAAGUAAUAUUACAAAAAUAUAGUGUUGCCUUAUUUUAA